rnacentral:lncRNA from 1 species
UGUGACACUCGUCGAUGAAGCUGAGCUGGGCGGCGGCGUCGCUGAUAAGAGCUGACAGAUCCCCCCCCGCAGCCCCCGCCAUGUGCCUCAAUGCUGCCACCCCAAAGUGCAAUGCCCACAGGUGCCGGCAGGGGGCGCUCUAAUAGGGAUAGAAUGGGGAUAUAAUGGGGUUCUAUGGGGGUAGUGCAAUGCCCACAGGUGCCGGCAGGGGGCGCCCUAAUAGGGAUAUAAUGGGGUUCAAUGGGGGUAGUGCAAUGCCCAUAGGUGCCGGCAGGGGGCGCCCUAAUAGGGAUAUAAUGGGGUUCUAUGGGGUACUGCAAUGCCCUAAUAGGGAUAUAAUAGGGAUAUAAUGGGGUUCUAUGGGGGGACUGCAAUGCCCACAGGUGCCUGCAGGGGGCGCCCUAACAGGGAUAGAAUGGGGUUCUAUGGGGUAGUGCAAUGCCCACAAGUGCCGGCAGGGGGCGCCCUAAUAGGGAUAUAAUAGGGAUAGAAUGGGGUUCUAUGGGGUAGUGCAAUGCCCACAGGUGCCGGCAGGGGGCGCCCUAAUAGGGAUAUAAUAGGGAUAUAAUAGGGAUAUAAUGGGGUUCUAUGGGGGGGGCUGCAUUAAUUGACCCCUAUUAU